GAUGAACGCUGGCUACAGGCUUAACACAUGCGAGUCGAGGGGAAACGACGGGGAAGCUUGCUUCCCCGGGCGUCGACCGGCGCACGGGUGAGUAACGCGUAUCCAACCUGCCUCUGACUGAGGGAUAACCCGUCGAAAGUCGGCCUAAUACCUCAUGGCAUCGUCUGCGGGCAUCCAACGACGAUUAAAGAUUUCAUCGGUCAGGGAUGGGGAUGCGUCUGAUUAGCUUGUUAGCGGGGUAACGGCCCACCAAGGCUACGAUCAGUAGGGGUUCUGAGAGGAAGGUCCCCCACAUUGGAACUGAGACACGGUCCAAACUCCUACGGGAGGCAGCAGUGAGGAAUAGUGGUCAAUGGGCGGGAGCCUGAACCAGCCAAGUAGCGUGCAGGAUGACGGCCCUAUGGGUUGUAAACUGCUUUUAUGCGGGGAUAAAGUGAGGGACGUGUCCUUCAUUGCAGGUACCGCAUGAAUAAGGACCGGCUAAUUCCGUG
rnacentral:rRNA from 1 species